rnacentral:rRNA from 1 species
CAGUCGAACGAGAAGGCGUAGCAAUACGCUUGUACUGUGGCGAACGGGUGAGGAAUACUUGGGUGACCUACCCUAGAGAGGGGAAUAACCCGCCGAAAGGUGGGCUAAUGCCGCGUACGCUUUCACCUCUGCGGAGAUGGAAGGAAAGCUGUACCGAGGGUACAGCGCUCUAGGAUGGGCUCAAGUCCUAUCAGCUUGUUGGUAGGGUAACGGCCUACCAAGGCAACGACGGGCAGCUGGUCUGAGAGGACGAGCAGCCACACUGGCACUGCGACACGGGCCAGACUCCUACGGGAGGCAGCAGUGAGGAAUAUUGCGCAAUGGGCGAAAGCCUGACGCAGCGACGCCGCGUGGGGGAUGAAGGUCUUCGGAUUGUAAACCCCUUUCGGGAGGGAAGAUGGGGUGGGCAACCACCCGGACGGUACCUCCAGAAGCAGCCACGGCUAACUUCGUGCCAGCAGCCGCGGUAAUACGAAGGUGGCAAGCGUUGUUCGGAUUUACUGGGCGUACAGGGUGCGUAGGCGGUUCGGUAAGCCCUUCGGGAAAUCUCCAGGCUCAACCUGGAAAGUUCGGAGGGGACUGCCGGGCUAGAGGACGGGAGAGGAGCGCGGAAUUCCCGGUGUAGCGGUGAAAUGCGUAGAGAUCGGGAGGAACGCCGGUGGCGAA